GAUGAAGAACGUAGCGAAAUGCGAUAAGUAAUGCGAAUUGCAGAAUUCAGUGAAUCAUCGAAUCUUUGAACGCACAUUGCGCCCGCCAGUAUUCUGGCGGGCAUGCCUGUCUGAGCGUCGUUUCGACCCUCGCGCCCGGCUUCUGUCGGGGGCGGUGUUGGGGAUCGGCCACACCCUUCAGUGGGAGGCCGGCCCCUAAAUUCAGUGGCGACCACGCUGUAGCCUCCCCUGCGUAGUACUAAAACCACCUCGCAGGCGGAGAGCGGUGCGGCCCGCCGUAAAACCCCCCAACUUUUACAGGGUCGACCUCAGAUCAGGUAGGAAUACCCGCUGAACUUAAGCAUAUCAAUAAGCGGAGGA
rnacentral:misc_RNA from 1 species